UACGUAGGGUGCGAGCGUUAAUCGGAAUUACUGGGCGUAAAGGGUGCGCAGGCGGUUUUGUAAGUCAGAUGUGAAAUCCCCGGGCUUAACCUGGGAACUGCGUUUGAAACUACAAGACUAGAGUGUAGCAGAGGGGGGUGGAAUUCCACGUGUAGCAGUGAAAUGCGUAGAUAUGUGGAAGAACACCGAUGGCGAAGGCAGCCCCCUGGGUUAACACUGACGCUCGGGCACGAAAGCGUGGGGAGCAAACAGG
rnacentral:rRNA from 1 species